UAGGGAAUCUUCGGCAAUGGACGAAAGUCUGACCGAGCAACGCCGCGUGAGUGAAGAAGGUUUUCGGAUCGUAAAACUCUGUUGUUAGAGAAGAACAAGGACGUUAGUAACUGAACGUCCCCUGACGGUAUCUAACCAGAAAGCCACGGCUAACUACGUGCCAGCAGCCGCGGUAAUACGUAGGUGGCAAGCGUUGUCCGGAUUUAUUGGGCGUAAAGCGAGCGCAGGCGGUUUCUUAAGUCUGAUGUGAAAGCCCCCGGCUCAACCGGGGAGGGUCAUGGGAAACUGGGAGACGUGAGUGCAGAAGAGGAGGGUGGAAUUCCAUGUGUAGCGGUGAAAUGCGUAGAUAUAUGGAGGAACACCAGUGGCGAAGGCGGCUCUCUGGUCUGUAACUGACGCUGAGGAUCGAAAGCGUGGGGAGCAAACAGG
rnacentral:rRNA from 1 species